rnacentral:miRNA from 1 species
CAGCAGACACAUUCCAGCCAAUCAGCCGCAGACCCUCCCUCCCAGACCCUCCCACCUCCUGGACAGCAUCCAUUUUACAUUCAUUGUGAAGCUGCAUUCUUAGUGAGCUGUCCAGGAGGUGGGAAGGUCUGGGAGGGAGGGUCUGCUGCUGAUUGGCUGGAAUAUGUCUGCU